rnacentral:rRNA from 1 species
UCCUACGGGAGGCAGCAGUUGGGAAUCUUGGGCAAUGGGCGCAAGCCUGACCCAGCGACACCGCGUGGGGGACGAAGGCCCUCGGGUCGUAAAACCCCUGUCAGGAGGGACGAAGCCGAAAGGUGACGGUACCUCCAGAGGAAGCCCCGGCUAACUACGUGCCAGCAGCCGCGGUA